ACAAGACAGCUGGACCAAGAAACCCCAAGACCACACCACAAGUCCUGACUGCUAAGAACUCCCUUUCCUGUCUGCUUCAGCCCUACACCAAGGAACCAUUUCAGCAGAAGUGUCAACUUUGUAUACAUCUUGCUGCUUAGAGUGGACAUUGAGAAAGCCUGAACUUCUCCAUCUGUUGUUGCCCCAAAUCUUCUCUUCUCGUCCUGUCCUCUGGCAUCACCUGUGCUGCAGAAGUAUGCUACUACCAUAAAGGAACUGGCCAAGCCUGUGGGCCCUGAUGCCGAGUGACCGUAGCCGUGCUUAGAAGAAGUCCCUUCCCGGCUCCCAGGAAGCUCUCCACCCCAGAGAGUCAAACUGGGAAG